rnacentral:rRNA from 1 species
CCUACGGGUGGCUGCAGUGGGGGAUAUUGCACAAUGGGGGAAACCCUGAUGCAGCGACGCCGCGUGUGGGAAGACGGUCCUCUGGAUUGUAAACCACUGUCCCCAGGGACGAAGAUGACGUUACCUGGGGAGGAAGCUCCGGCUAACUACGGCCCAGCAGCCGCGGUAAUACGUAGGGAGCGGGCGUUGUCCGAAAUUACGGGGUGAAAGGGGAGGGUAGGCGGGACUGAAAGGUGGGGGGCAAAUCUACCGGCUCAACCGGUAGCUGCACUCAAAACUGCAGUUCUUGAGUGAAGGAGAGGCAGGCGGAAGUCCUAGUGUAGCGGUGAAAUGCGUAGAUAUUAGGAGGAACACCAGUGGCGAAGGCGGCCUGCUGGGCUUUUACUGACGCUGAGGCUCGAAAGCGUGGGGAGCAAACAGGAUUAGAUACCCCUGUAGUC